UCCCUGAGACCUCAAUUGUG
rnacentral:miRNA from 1 species